rnacentral:rRNA from 1 species
UACGGAGGGUGCAAGCGUUAUCCGGAUUCACUGGGUUUAAAGGGUGCGUAGGUGGAUUGGUAAGUCAGUGGUGAAAUCUCCGGGCUUAACCCGGAAACUGCCAUUGAUACUAUCAGUCUUGAAUACCGUGGAGGUCAGUAGAAUAUGUCAUGUAGCGGUGAAAUGCUUAGAUAUGAUACAGAACACCGAUAGCGAAGGCAGCUUGCUGAACCAUUAUUGACGCUGAGGCACGAAAGCGUGGGGAGCAAACAGG